rnacentral:rRNA from 1 species
UACGUAGGGUGCAAGCGUUGUCCGGAAUUAUUGGGCGUAAAGAGCUCGUAGGCGGUUUGUCGCGUCUGCUGUGAAAACCCGAGGCUCAACCUCGGGCCUGCAGUGGGUACGGGCAGACUAGAGUGCGGUAGGGGAGAUUGGAAUUCCUGGUGUAGCGGUGGAAUGCGCAGAUAUCAGGAAGAACACCCGUGGCGAAGGCGGUUCUCUGGUCUGCAACUGACGCUGAGGCGCGAAAGCGUGGAUAGCAAACAGG